rnacentral:tRNA from 1 species
AUGAGCUCAGUUGGUCAGAGCAUGGUGUUGAUAACACCAGAGUUGUGGGUUUGAGCCCUGUAU